rnacentral:rRNA from 1 species
UAGCUAGUUGGUGAGGUAACGGCUUACCAAGGCGACGAUCUGUAGCGGGUCUGAGAGGAUGAUCCGCCACACUGGAACUGAGACACGGUCCAGACUCCUACGGGAGGCAGCAGUGGGGAAUUUUGGACAAUGGGGGCAACCCUGAUCCAGCCAUGCCGCGUGAGUGAAGAAGGCCUUCGGGUUGUAAAGCUCUUUCGGCCGGGAAGAAAUCGCAUGGGCCAAUACCCUGUGUGGAUGACGGUACCGGAAUAAGAAGCACCGGCUAACUACGUGCCAGCAGCCGCGGUAAUACGUAGGGUGCGAGCGUUAAUCGGAAUUACUGGGCGUAAAGCGUGCGCAGGCGGUUUUGUAAGACAGGCGUGAAAUCCCCGGGCUCAACCUGGGAACUGCGUUUGUGACUGCAAGGCUAGAGUACGGCAGAGGGGGGUGGAAUUCCACGUGUAGCAGUGAAAUGCGUAGAGAUGUGGAGGAACACCAAUGGCGAAGGCAGCCCCCUGGGUCGAUACUGACGCUCAUGCACGAAAGCGUGGGUAGCAAACAGGAUUAGAUACCCUGGUAGUCCACGCCCUAAACUAUGUCAACUAGGUGUUGGGUGGGUAAAACCAUUUAGUACCGUAGCUAACGCGUGAAGUUGACCGCCUGGGGAGUACGGCCGCAAGGUUAAAACUCAAAGGAAUUACGGGGACCCGCACAAGCGGUGGAUGAUGUGGAUUAAUUCGAUGCAACGCGAAAAACCUUACCUACCCUUGACAUGCCAGGAACUUGCCAGAGAUGGCUUGGUGCCCGAAAGGGAGCCUGGACACAGGUGCUGCAUGGCUGUCGUCAGCUCGUGUCGUGAGAUGUUGGGUUAAGUCCCGCAACGAGCGCAACCCUUGUCGUUAAUUGCCAUCAUUUAGUUGGGCACUUUAGCGAGACUGCCGGUGACAAACCGGAGGAAGGUGGGGAUGACGUCAAGUCCUCAUGGCCCUUAUGGGUAGGGCUUCACACGUCAUACAAUGGUCGAUACAGAGGGUCGCCAAGCCGCGAGGUGGAGCCAAUCCCAGAAAGCCGAUCGUAGUCCGGAUUGCAGGCUGCAACUCGCCUGCAUGAAGUCGGAAUCGCUGGUAAUCGUGGAUCAGCAUGUCACGGUGAAUACGUUCCCGGGUCUUGUACACACCGCCCGUCACACCAUGGGAGCGGGUUCCGCCAGAAGUAGGUAGCCUAACCGCAAGGAGGGCGCUUACCACGGCGGGGUUCGUGACUGGGGUGAAGUCGUAACAAGGUAGCCGUAGGGGAACCUGCGGCUG